rnacentral:lncRNA from 1 species
GUGAUCCUCAUAGAAAUUGCUCCAAGAACAGGAGUCCUUGCUUCAAAACUUUGUUGAUGAGUUGUAAUCUAUAGAAUUCGAUUUGAUCCAAUUUGAUCAAACCUACUCUUUGACUUGGACUUGGUCUCUCCUUGACUUAGACUUAGACUCUUAAACCCUCUCUUUCUAUCUCUAAUUUUCUCCUAAUUCUCUUCCUAGGCUCUUGUCUUAAAGAAGGCAGACUUGUCUUAAACUUGAGAUAAUGUCUUAACAAGAGAAGGAAGGGAAUUGAUUGGAUAGAGAUGGAUUGCCUUAAACCAAUC